rnacentral:rRNA from 1 species
GACGAACGCUGGCGGCGUGCUUAACACAUGCAAGUCGAACGGAAAGGCCCUGCUUUUGUGGGGUGCUCGAGUGGCGAACGGGUGAGUAACACGUGAGUAACCUGCCCUUGACUUUGGGUUAACUUCAGGAAACUGGGGCUAAUACCGGAGAGGAGCUCCUGCUGCAUGGUGGGGGUUGGAAAGUUUCGGCGGUUGGGGAUGGACUCGAGGCUUUCAGCUUGUUUGGGGGGUAGUGGCUGACCAAGGCUUUGACGGGUAGCCGGACUGAGAGGGUGAACGGCGACAUUGGGACUGAGAUACGGCCCAGACUCCUACGGGAGGCAGCAGUGGGGAAUAUUGCACAAUGGGCGGAAGCCUGAUGCAGCAACGCCGCGUGCGGGAUGACGGCCUUCGGGUUGUAAACCGCUUUCGCCUGUGACGAAGCGUGAGUGACGGUAAUGGGUAAAGAAGCACCGGCUAACUACGUG